ensembl:lncRNA
GGUGGACACAAAACACCUGCGUUCAAGUGGAUCAGACUGUUUAAAACGACAUAAACAGAUAUAAUGCGAUCCAGCGCAGAGUCCAGGAAACACUGUCUUAGCGCCGCUCUGUUACUGUGCGGGGUGGAGGCAGCUGUUGUUGGCACGGUGACUGUAAACAUGCGUCAGUUGUCAAACACGUGCCAUAAAAGCCUCAAUGUUUCAUAAGCAGCUCCCUUAAAAGAGAAGUGGCUCCGCAACAGCAGGCUCUGUGUUUACUGCUCUCUUCAAGGACACAUAAUACACGAAGGUGACUCAUCCACAAUGGCAAAACACAGCGUUAGCCUUGUGCUUGCCAUAGUGCUGGCAUCAACCCUCUUCAUCCUCACUAUGGUGCUCUCUGCUCUGGCAGCACCGGGAAUACACCCUUUUUUGUCGAGCACCCGUAACAUUUCAGAUGAGUUUGUGACUCAGAUCACACCUUCAGGAUGGAC